rnacentral:rRNA from 1 species
UACGAAGGGGGCUAGCGUUGCUCGGAAUCACUGGGCGUAAAGGGCGCGUAGGCGGCCAUUCAAGUCGGGGGUGAAAGCCUGUGGCUCAACCACAGAAUUGCCUUCGAUACUGUUUGGCUUGAGUAUGGUAGAGGUGAGUGGAACUGCGAGUGUAGAGGUGAAAUUCGUAGAUAUUCGCAAGAACACCAGUGGCGAAGGCGGCUCACUGGCCCGAUACUGACGCUGAGGUGCGAAAGCGUGGGGAGCAAACAGG